AGUGAACGCUGGCGGUAGGCCUAACACAUGCAAGUCGAACGGCAGCACAGUAGAGCUUGCUCUUACGGGUGGCGAGUGGCGGACGGGUGAGGGAUACAUCGGAAUCUACUUUUUCGUGGGGGAUAACGUAGGGAAACUUACGCUAAUACCGCAUACGACCUACGGGUGAAAGCAGGGGAUCUUCGGACCUUGCGCGAUUGAAUGAGCCGAUGUCGGAUUAGCUAGUUGGCGGGGUAAAGGCCCACCAAGGCGACGAUCCGUAGCUGGUCUGAGAGGAUGAUCAGCCACACUGGAACUGAGACACGGUCCAGACUCCUACGGGAGGCAGCAGUGGGGAAUAUUGGACAAUGGGCGCAAGCCUGAUCCAGCCAUACCGCGUGGGUGAAGAAGGCCUUCGGGUUGUAAAGCCCUUUUGUUGGGAAAGAAAAGCAGCGGGUUAAUACCCCGCUGUUCUGACGGUACCCAAAGAAUAAGCACCGGCUAACUUCGU
rnacentral:rRNA from 1 species